rnacentral:tRNA from 1 species
AGAAAUAUAUAAAAUUAGCUGCUAACUAAUAUCAAGUGAUAAAUUCAUUAAUAUUUCUU